rnacentral:rRNA from 1 species
CACCGGCGCCCCAAGUGGCACUCGCGAUUAUUGGGCCUAAAGCGUCCGUAGCCUGAUGAGUAAAUCCUCUGUGAAAUUGUACUGCUUAACGGUACAGCGCGCAGGGGACACUGCUCGUCUCGGGACCGGGAGGGGUCAGAGGUAUGCCGCAGGGACCGGUAAAAUGGGAUAAUCUGCGGUAGACCACCAAUGGCGAAGGCAUCUGACCAGAACGGAUCCGACGGUGAGGGACGAAAGCCAGGGGAGCGAACCG